UCCUACGGGAGGCAGCAGUGGGGAAUCUUGGACAAUGGAGGAAACUCUGAUCCAGCCAUGCCGCGUGAGUGAUGAAGGCCUUCGGGUUGUAAAACUCUUUCGCGCGCGACGAUAAUGACGGUAGCGCGAGAAGAAGCUCCGGCUAACUUCGUGCCAGCAGCCGCGGUA
rnacentral:rRNA from 1 species